UAGGAGGGUUUUGGGUUUUUUAAAAUAUAUAUAUAAAUUCUAAGCUUCGCCAGUGCCCAGCAGGGGGCAGCCGGGACGUCUGAGGAAAGAAGGAGGGAGCGGCCCCAUUCAGCUCCCCUGCGAGGGGCUGGGCAUUGGGGGUUGGUCCCUCAGUUCUGGAAAGCACUUCGCCCCCUUGGCGCAGUGACUGUGUUCUUUAUACGUACGUGCCGCGACUUACCUUAUUAGUACCUGACAGAUGGACUUGGGAGUUGCUUCCAAUUUUGGCGGUCCUCACACCGCUGCAGUGAACAUCCUGGACAGAGUCACUUGUCACCAGGGGACGUAUCUCUAUACGAUAGAUCCUUAAUGUGGACUUGCCGGGUCAAAGGUUUCAUGCAUUUUAAAUUGUGAUAAACAACCAUACCAACUGCACUGUAAUUAACAGAGAGAUCCUGUUCGCCAGCCCAGGGUCCCAACCCACGUGUUAUUUCUUGGUGGUUUUAGAAGUGAAGCAUGUAACUCAUAGUUUGGAUUUGCACAUCUCCUCGUUUGAUAACAGUAAGUGCAACAUCUAUAUUUUCCUCGGCUAUUUUUGUGCAUUCUUUUCAGGAAGCCCUUGUUGUUUUUCUCGCCAAUACAUGAGACUGAUAUUUAGCAUGAAGACAUCAUCUCCUUGUCUGCUAUAAGUUGCAAGUAUUUUCUUCAUCUGGCUGUUUGUCUAAGCUUCUAGUUCCGUUUUUCAUGUUUCAGCUGGAUCCAUCUGAAAUUUAUUUUGGUAAAAUAUGUAAAGGAGUCUCCGAUUUUUUUUGUUUUUUCGUAUGGCUACCUCUCACCAAAGUGGGUAUGAACAGAACAUAACAGACUCAUAGCCAUUUAUGACAAACACACAGCUACCGUAAUACUCAGUGGGGAAAAGCUGAAAGCCUUUGUGCUGUAUUCUGCAACAAGACACCGAUGCCCACUCUCACCAAAGUGGAAGUCCUAGUCACAGCAAUCAGACAAAGACAAGAAAAACUAACUGGAAGAGAACAGGUAAAAUCGGUAUUGUAUGCAGAUGACGUGAUAAUCGACACAGAAAACCCUGAAGGUGCCCCCCCAAACUACUAGAAGAAAUAAAUGAAUUCAACAGAGAUGGAUACAAGAGCAAGGCACAGAAAUUUGUUGCAUUUCAUUACACUAAAACUAAAACAUUAGAGAAAGUAACUGAAAAAUCCUGUUUAAAAUUGGGUCAAAAAUACAAAAUAACAGGGUGUAAGCCUAACCAAUGGGGUUAAAGGCCUACCAGCUGAGGACCAUGAAAUACUGAUAAAGGACACUGAGGGUGAUUCAAAGAAAAAUUUUAAAUAAUACAAAUGAACUUACAAAACAGAAAACAAACUUACGGCUACCAGAGAGGAACAAGGAGUGGGAGGGCUAACUUAGGUGGAUGGAAUUAACAGACACUCACCGCAGCAUGUAGAAGAGAUGAGCAACAAGGAUUUGCUCUGUGGCAGAGGAAAGUAUCAACAUUUUAGAAUAGCCCAUAACAGAAAAGAGUGUGAAAUGUACACGCAUAUAUAUAUAUAACUGAAUCACUUUGCUAUACACCCGCAACUAAAAAAAUAAUGUAAAUCAAAUACACUUCAGUAGAAAAGGGAAAAACUUCGUAUUUCAUUUAUUGAAUAUCCAUAUGCUUUCAUUAACGCAACACACCAAAUUCACCUAGAACUACACGCCGGUGUGAAUUUGAGUUUCAUUCUAAACUUUCUUUUCUGUUUGAUUGCUAUUUGAAUAUUCAGAUAUUAGUACCCGUGUGCUAAUUGUUGUCAUGUUCCAUCAUACAAUUACAGAAAUUUCCCACUCAUGAAUAAUCAUUUUCUCAGAAUUGCACUGUAUAUUCUUGUUGUUAGACAUUACAUGUCUAGUUAAAUAAGUCUUUCUUCUUUCAAAACAUUUUUACCAUAUUGGAAUAAUAUUAAUUUAUUAGGAUAGACAUUUUUAGUUCUAUCCAUUUUUACAGUUUUUUUCUUUCAAUAACAUUUUAACAUUACUUCAAAUGAAUACUACAUGCUUCAUGAUAAUGUUAUUCUAAAGUAAUUUGUUUUGAUGAUAUAAUAAAUUUAGUUUUUUUUCC